ACUUCAGCUGCAUUUCCUCUGAGACCCAUUUGCAUCGUUUACAUACGAAAAAAUAGACACCAUGUUUCCUCAAAUAAUCACUGCUACUUUUUUUUUGCAUGGCAAAAAAUGUGUGUGAUGCAAUUCUGUUGUUCUUAAAGUGUCGAAAAAAUAAUCAUCCUCUUCUCAAAUUUUAACUUUCUCAUCGUUUGCCUACUUUAAUGUUAAAUAUUAUCCAAAAAAUAUUAACAUCAAAGUAACUCAAGUCAACAUAAAAUGCAGUUUUUAAAUAAUGAUUUUAUUUAUUACAGAAAGCAAAUACAGUAUUCAAAACUACCUGGCCUUGUGUGCAAAAGUACUUGCCCCUGUAGAUAAAUUAUGUAUUAACUGCAAUAAAUCGCUUUAUUGGGGGAGAACCCAAUUUCAUUUUCUAUGACCCCACCCAAGCCUGACUGCCUCCAGACUUGUUCAAUCAGGAGAUUGCAUGAAUAAAUCUUGUCUGACAAAAUGUCAGCCAAAUGUUCUCAAAAAGCUGCAACAAAAUGCCACAAACUAAAGAAAUCCAAGAGCAAAUGAGAAAUAAAGUAAGCGAUAUAUCAGUCUGAAAAUGGUUGCAAAGCCAUUUCGAAAACUUAGGGACUCCAGCGAACAAUGCUGAGAGGAAUUAUCCACAAAUGGACAAAGCAUGGCACAGUGGUGAACCUUCCCCAGGAUUAGACGGUCUCCCCCACCUCAGUUAAUGUCAGUGUUCAGCACUCAACAGGAAGUAACAGACCGGGCAAAAUUGAAAACCAUGGCAAGACUUCUCAAGCAAAAACCAGUGCUGACCAAAAAGAGGAAGAAGAAGAAGUCUUAGUUUUCCAAAAAAAGACCCAUCUGAAUGAUUAUUCUAUGGACUGAUGAGACAAAAACUGCAGUUUUUGGAAGAUGUGUGUGUCAUUACAUCUGAGCGUAAAUGGAGCUCAGCAUUGCAGAAGAAGAACAUCAGGCCAGUAGUCAAAUAUGCACGUAGUAUGAUGGUCUGGGGCUGCUUUGCAUCUUUAGGACCUGGACCACUUGCUCUGACUAAGCGAAUCAUGAAUUCUGCUCUCUUACCCCCCGCACCGCCCCCCUCAAAAAAAGUCCUGAGGAACAAUGUUUGACCAUCAGUUUGUGACCUCAAACUUUAGCGCACUUCAGUUCUGCAUCUUGACAAUGAUCCAAAGCACACUAGCAAAUCAACUUCUAAUCUGGAUGUGAAUUCAUUUGAAAUGCUCUGGCAUCACACUUCAAGACCCUCCAAUCUUGUUGAAUUCACACAAUUCUGCAAGCAAGACUGGCCCAAAAUAUCGCCGCCGAGAAGAGACUCAUUGGCAGUUACGGGAAAGGCUUGAUUUAAUUUGUUCUUUUUGAGGGUCGCCCAACCACAUACUAAUUGUAGGGGAACAAGUACUAUUUUGUAUACGGUCAGCUCUCUUGGAAUAUUUUUUUUCGUACUAAACAAAAUCACCACCGAAAAAAAAACUUUAUUUUAGCCUCAUUACUUGGUUGAUCACAGCUGUUGUUAAAGUGCUA